GGAGUUAGCCGGUGCUUCUUCUGUGAGUGAUGUCCUUCCUGCCGGUUAUUGACCCGCAGGCCUUCUUCCUCACUGAAAGUGCUUUACAACCCGAAGGCCUUCUUCACACACGCGGCAUGGCUGGAUCAGGGUUGCCCCCAUUGUCCAAUAUUCCCCACUGCUGCCUCCCGUAGGAGUCUGGGCCGUGUCUCAGUCCCAGUGUGGCUGAUCAUCCUCUCAGACCAGCUACGGAUCGUCGCCUUGGUGAGCCGUUACCUCACCAACCAGCUAAUCCGACAUAGGCUCAUCCGAUAGCGCGAGGCCCGAAGGUCCCCCGCUUUCCCCCGUAGGGCGUAUGCGGUAUUAGCCUGGGUUUCCCCCAGGUUAUCCCCCGACUACCGGGCAGAUUCCUAUGCAUUACUCACCCGUCCGCCGCUCGCCACCAGGGAGCAAGCUCCCCGUGCUGCCGCUCGACUUGCAUGUGUUAGGCCUGCCGCCAGCGUUCAAUCUGAGCCAGAUCAAACUCUGA
rnacentral:rRNA from 1 species